CCGGUGAGAGAAAGCAGCAGGUUUCAGUCAGCGUCGAAAGCGACGAUAUCUCUCAUCUCCAUCAUCAGACCAAAUCUCAAAGACUAAACCUUUCUUCUUCUUCCUUCCUCACGCGCCGUCUCUCAAACUCGUCUCCUUCAUUCCUCCAAUAUGGAACUAGAUUCAGACAACAACCUCUUAAAGACAGGUCUGGUCAUAACAGCAACACUCGUCAUAGCCAAACUCAUCUUCACCUUCUUCACUUCCUCCUCCAAGAAGAAGCGUCUUCCACCCACUCUCCAAGCCUAUCCUCCACUCAUCGGAAGCCUCCUCCGUUUCCUGAAAGGUCCCAUCGUAAUGCUGAGAGACGAGUACCCCAACCUCGGAAGCGUCUUCACAGGGCCGGCUCCAGAGCGGGUCCUAGGUUUUAGAAGGCUGGAAGCAAAUAAAAAAAUGUGGCUACUUAUCAAAAAAAAAAGAAAAAAAUCCUUACUACAGCAGAUUCGAACCCAGGACGCCGCAAAUAAGUCUAUUAUUUGUAUGCUAUACCACUAGACUAAAGAAGUUUUUAUGAAUUUUGUGGCCGAAAAUACUUGAUUAAAUUUUGUGGCCGGAAGCAUGGGCUUCAUUGGCUUGGCCCAAGGGCCCG